rnacentral:misc_RNA from 1 species
UCCGGCUUAUCACCGGCAGUCCCCUUAGAGUGCCCAACUAAAUGAUGGUAACUAAGGGCAAAGGUUUCGCUCGUUAAGGGACUUAACCCGACAUCUCACGACACGAGCUGACGACAGCCAUGCAGCACCUGUACUAGUUGUACCCCGAAGGGCCUACCCUACUUUCAUAGGGAUAAUCCUAGCAUGUCAAGCCCAGGUAAGGUUCUGCGCGUUGCUUCGAAUUGAACCACAUGCUCCACCGCUUGUGUGAGCCCCCGUCAAUUCCUUUGAGUUUUAGCCUUGCGACCGUACUUCCCAGGCGGUCGACUUAGCACUUUUGCUUCGACCGUGAUGGCGUCAGAGCCACCACGAUCUAGUCGACAUCGUUUAGGGCCAGGACUAC